GACGAACGCUGGCGGCGUGCCUAAUACAUGCAAGUCGAACGCUUCUUUCCUCCCGAGUGCUUGCACUCAAUUGGAAAGAGGAGUGGCGGACGGGUGAGUAACACGUGGGUAACCUACCCAUCAGAGGGGGAUAACACUUGGAAACAGGUGCUAAUACCGCAUAACAGUUUAUGCCGCAUGGCAUAAGAGUGAAAGGCGCUUUCGGGUGUCGCUGAUGGAUGGACCCGCGGUGCAUUAGCUAGCUGGUGAGGUAACGGCUCACCAAGGCCACGAUGCAUAGCCGACCGGAGAGGGUGAUCGGCCACACUGGGACUGAGACACGGCCCAGAGUCCUACGGGAGGCAGCAGUAGGGAAUCUGCGGCAAUGGACGAAAGUCUGACCGAGCAACGCCGCGUGAGUGAAGAAGGUGUUCGGAUCGUAAAACUCUGUUGUUAGAGAAGAACAAGGACGUUAGUAACUGAACGUCCCCUGACGGUAUCUAACCAGAAAGCCACGGCUAACUACGUG
rnacentral:rRNA from 1 species